GGCUACUUGGCGCAAUGGUAGCGCGUUUGGCUUCGAUCGCCCUACGUACCAAAAGGUUGCAGGUUCGAGUCCUGCAGUGGUCA
rfam:Cylindrobasidium torrendii FP15055 ss-10 unplaced genomic scaffold CYLTOscaffold_402, whole genome shotgun sequence.